rnacentral:rRNA from 1 species
AUGAACGCUAGCUACAGGCUUAACACAUGCAAGUCGAGGGGCAGCAUGAACUUAGCUUGCUAAGUUUGAUGGCGACCGGCGCACGGGUGAGUAACACGUAUCCAACCUGCCGAUGACUCGGGGAUAGCCUUUCGAAAGAAAGAUUAAUACCCGAUGGCAUAGUUCUUCCGCAUGGUAGAACUAUUAAAGAAUUUCGGUCAUCGAUGGGGAUGCGUUCCAUUAGGUUGUUGGCGGGGUAACGGCCCACCAAGCCUUCGAUGGAUAGGGGUUCUGAGAGGAAGGUCCCCCACAUUGGAACUGAGACACGGUCCAAACUCCUACGGGAGGCAGCAGUGAGGAAUAUUGGUCAAUGGACGAGAGUCUGAACCAGCCAAGUAGCGUGAAGGAUGACUGCCCUAUGGGUUGUAAACUUCUUUUAUACGGGAAUAAAGUGAGGCACGUGUGCCUUUUUGUAUGUACCGUAUGAAUAAGGAUCGGCUAACUCCGUGCCAGCAGCCGCGGUAAUACGGAGGAUCCGAGCGUUAUCCGGAUUUAUUGGGUUUAAAGGGAGCGUAGGCGGACGCUUAAGUCAGUUGUGAAAGUUUGCGGCUCAACCGUAAAAUUGCAGUUGAUACUGGGUGUCUUGAGUACAGUAGAGGCAGGCGGAAUUCGUGGUGUAGCGGUGAAAUGCUUAGAUAUCACGAAGAACUCCGAUUGCGAAGGCAGCCUGCUGGACUGUAACUGACGCUGAUGCUCGAAAGUGUGGGUAUCAAACAGGAUUAGAUACCCUGGUAGUCCACACAGUAAACGAUGAAUACUCGCUGUUUGCGAUAUACAGUAAGCGGCCAAGCGAAAGCGUUAAGUAUUCCACCUGGGGAGUACGCCGGCAACGGUGAAACUCAAAGGAAUUGACGGGGGCCCGCACAAGCGGAGGAACAUGUGGUUUAAUUCGAUGAUACGCGAGGAACCUUACCCGGGUUUGAACGUAGUCUGACCGGAGUGGAAACACUCCUUCUAGCAAUAGCAGAUUACGAGGUGCUGCAUGGUUGUCGUCAGCUCGUGUCGUGAGAUGUUGGGUUAAGUCCCGCAACGAGCGCAACCCCUAUCCUCAGUAGCCAGCAAGUUAAGUUGGGCACUCUGGGGAGACUGCCAGGGAUAACCUGGAGGAAGGUGGGGAUGACGUCAAAUCAGCACGGCCCUUACGUCCGGGGCUACACACGUGUUACAAUGGGGGGUACAGAAGGCAGCUACACGGCGACGUGAUGCUAAUCCCGAAAGCCUCUCUCAGUUCGGAUUGGAGUCUGCAACCCGACUCCAUGAAGCUGGAUUCGCUAGUAAUCGCGCAUCAGCCACGGCGCGGUGAAUACGUUCCCGGGCCUUGUACACACCGCCCGUCAAGCCAUGAAAGCCGGGGGUACCUGAAGUGCGUAACCGCAAGGAGCGCCCUAGGGUAAAACUGGUGAUUGGGGCU